ensembl:lncRNA
AGGAGGACUGAGAAGUGGGUGGUGGAGAGGCCAGGACAUACUGCAGCUGCCAUGACCUGCCUCAUGCUGCUCUGUCGGCCUCGACCCGGUGAUGUGGGUUUAGGUCUUCUCCUCUGGCCUCCAGGAAACCCCAGAAGACGCUCACUUUUUACCAGGCCUUGUGGCAUGUAGGAUCUUAGUUCACUGACCAGGGAUUGAACCCAUGCCCCUUGAACUGGAAGUACCAGAGUCUUAACCGCUGGCCCACCAGCCCCGGGAUUUCUUUGGAAGGAAUGAUGCUGAAGCUGAAACUUUGGCCACCUCAUGGGAAGAGUUGACUCAUUGGAAAAGACUCUGAUGCUGGGAGGGAUUGGGGGCUAGAGGAGAAGGGGACGACAGAGGAUGAGAUGGCUGGAUGGCAUCACUGACUCGAUGGACGUGAGUCUCAGUGAACUCCGGGAGUUGGUGAGGGACAGGGAGGCCUGGCGUGCUGCGAUUCAUGGGGUCGCAAAGAGUCAGACACGACUGAGCGACUGAUCUGAUCUGAUAAGGGCUUAUUCAGAAAUUGGUCCAAUUUAGUAUUGUUUUGUGGUAGUUCAGGGAUAGCAGAUACUUGCUUGCCACCUAUAAUUUAGACCCUAAGAACCCCCAAAUAAUGAAGUUUUGCAGUAGCAGCAUGCCCAAAUAACAUAUAAGAUUUAUCCUAGAAGCUAUAUAAUGUGGGACAUUUAUAUGUUGGAACAAACUUUCCUUUAGUUUCCUUAACACUUUUAUACUUCUUUCUGAGCAUCCACUGGUUUCUUGGGGACAUCUGUGAAGAAGAGAACCUGACUAGAAAAUACCUGAUACCUGAUAAUACCUGCUGACGCUCUACUAGACAUACAGUAGACGCUCAAUGAAUGCUUGAUGAAUGCAUCAGUGGAGGGUAAUUAUGAAACUGGUGAUGUGUGUAUGAAUCUUAUAUGUUAUUUGGGCAUAAAACUUUGUUAUUUGAGGCUACUAAAAUUUAGAUUUGGAAUUCAACUUGGCAAGAGGUAGAAGGAGGCCACUGAGUAACUGGGAAGGAGACUGGAAGAUCACAUCCCUACCUCCCUUCUCUCUCAAGCCAAAAGAAAGCCAGACUUCCCUACCAGAACUCACCCACUCCCAUUCUGGUUUCUUUACUAAGCAUGACACCUAUGACCUUCUGAAAGAGAAAUAUCUAUUUCCUGGAAUUUUAAGAUUUAUACCUUCUUAUAUAUAUAUUUUUUGGUUCAAAUAGAUUUUAACUAUGGAAAAUUUCACCAAAAAGAAGUUGUUUUGUGAAGGUUAUAUUUUGCCUAAAAUAAAAAAAAGAACGAAUGGCCCUAUACUUACACAUUAGGAUAUUCUUAAGGGUCUGGCUUAUCUAUAGAGAGGACAGUUACAAGAUAAAGUUGACACUCCAUUUUAAUCCCACCCCCAGCAGAGUCACAUUUUUGCGGCACUUUUCUUUGUCAAGAAUCAGGGUAGAAUAUGCAAGAAAUAGGUUUUUGUUUUUGAAACAACAACUGCUAAGCAACCACUAUCAACCACCUUCUGUUACCAAGUUUUGGGCAGAUAGUGGCUGAGUGGGUACUUCCAGAAGCUCUCCCCAGAUUUUGGUGCUUUGAUCACACAAUAACCUUUGAACAUCUGUUUAUAUACAGACUGUGCUGUUUUUCCUCUCAUGUUUAAAGUUGGCAGUAUAACCACAAUUCUGUAAUUCUGCAAGGGAAGUGUCAUGGGAAAUAGUGUAUCACUGUGCUUAUACAGUGCAAUGGAAAUAAAUACUAAUGCAUAAUAUUUCUUUCUUGGCAUAUCUGAAUCAGACUCUUGCUAAUUAGUCACUUCUUUGGAUUUCACCUCGGGAAGAUGCCUCUACUGGCCAGAGGAUGCCAUGGAAAUCAUACUGAGGUUAAAACUAGGCAAAUGAUAUGUAGGGCUGGCAUGAACAAAAGGUGUUAACUUCAUCCACCAGGGCUGUAGAAGCAUAAAGAC